GAAUGAUGCAGAGGGUAAUUAGAGAUAUGGUUGUGUACAACGUAUUUAAGAAAGAGCAAGAUGAGUACCAGUUAUAAAUAAAGAACAACAGAGCAGUGUUUACGAGUCACAUUUAUUUUGAGUGCUCUGAUAAUCUGGUUAUGUGAAGGGUUAUUUGCAAAUAAUAUACUCUACAGGUAUAAUUCUGGGAAAAAUAUUAUUUUUGUGUUGUAAUUAUUAUUUGAAAAGAUGUUUCCCUGGGUUUUUUCAAUUUGUUGAUAUUUAUUUGUUUUAAUAAUGUGAAAUUAUGUUGUGCGUUUUUUCUUUCCACAGACAGCAAUGGAUCAACUUCAUAUGCACUUCACCCAAGCCAUUCACAACACCGUGUUUCAAGUUGUUCUUGGUUAUGUGGAACUAUGUGCAGGAAACACAGACACAAAAUUCCAAAAGCUGCAAUAUAAGGAUCUCUGUACACAUGUUACACCAGACAGCUAUAUUCCAUGCCUUGCAGACCUGUGCAAAGCACUGUGGGAAGUUAUGCUCAGCUAUUAUAGGACUAUGGAAUGGC
rnacentral:sRNA from 1 species